UACGUAGGUGGCAAGCGUUGUUCGGAAUUACUGGGCGUAAAGGGCUCGUAGGCGGCCAACUAAGUCAGACGUGAAAUCCCUCGGCUUAACCGGGGAACUGCGUCUGAUACUGGAUGGCUAGAGUUUGGGAGAGGGAUGCGGAAUUCCAGGUGUAGCGGUGAAAUGCGUAGAGAUGUGGAGGAACACCGAUGGCGAAGGCAGCCUCCUGGGCCAACACUGACGCUCAUGCACGAAGCGUGGGGAGCAAACAGG
rnacentral:rRNA from 1 species